AAAAACCUACGACUCGCAUCGACUUUGUCUUCUCUGUUUCCUCUUCAUCAAAGCUUCUAGAGAUUCGAUUAGGUUUUGAAUUUUAAGACUCUCUGUUCAAUUGCUCUUUGUGAUCGGAUUGGGUAUGGCUCAAGCUGUAGAAGAAUGGUACAAACAGAUGCCGAUUAUAACCCGGUCGUACUUGACGGCGGCUGUUGUUACCACUGUGGGAUGUUCUCUCAAGGUAUAUACGCUUCCUCUUUCUCUGUUUUCCGUUUUCUCCAUCUCUAUUUGUCCUUUCCGAACCUGAGAAACGUGAACGGAGAUGGUACCUUUGUCAUUAUCUCAACAUAAUCUCUGGCCGCCGGAAUCUGUAUCUACGGUGUUUCGGGGUUACGCAACCGCCACAUCGAAACACGCCUGCGACCAUCUUCGCCGUCACCUCCGACUUGGCUUCCAUAUCCGCUCUUCCCUUCAGAUACUGCUGCAAGUCUAUGAUGCUGCACGAACGGGGUUCUCAAGAAGAGUCGUUGUAUUCAACAGGGCUAAGUUUCUUCACUCCAGAGAUGAUAUCAGAUCUUCGUUAUCUGUAUGUUUCUUUAGUGGAUGAGAGAGUAGGAUAGGUCCUAGAGGUGAGGAGGGGUCAUCAUCAAACCAGGAGACAUCCAAGAGAAACACAAGAAGUGGACAGAGGUGGACCAAUGUCCUCCUUGCCGUUAACGUUAUGUAAUGUGUUUAGUUCUUCUCUCUGUUACAUGUAACAAUAGAUCAUGUCUUUUGGUUUGAGAUGUUGCAUUAGAUAAAUGCUUUAGGCUUAUGGGUUUCAUUCUUGUGUCAUGACAGAAUGUAUAUUGCACAAGUUGCAUCCAAUGGUAGAGUGCUGACAUGGGGAGCCAAGGUAUCAUAUUCAGAGACUUGAUUAAAUACAAGAGGGAAACAGUUUGAUAUCUGAAUAUCUCUGUUCCAUUUCUCUUAAGUCUAUCUCCAAUGAAAUUUUUUGGUUCUUACGAUAAGCCAACUCAUCUAAUAGCUUUUACAGAUAAAACGUUGUUUGUUCUCUUCUCACCGCUUGCUCGAAACAGGUAUGUUAACUAUUUUUUUUGGUCCUGUGGAAUUUCAGGGCUUUGUUUUUUUUUAAUAAGUUACAAUGUUUAGAUUAAGAGUUUUGGCCUUGUGUUUGUCCGCUCGAACCUGCAAAAUCAGAGCUUUUUAUGUGUUUUGUGUUUGUACUAAUCUAUAAAGUGUAUCAAAGGAUUUUCUUGAGAGUAUCUCCAUAUUUAGUGGUCUGAACAAAAUGUUCUUUAUCGAGAUUAUGUAGAUCCAUUAUUUUCAUUUCUUUGGAGUUGCACAAAUGAACGGAGCAAUCUUUUUCUAAUAUAUAGCUUUGUGACAGGUUUCUAGAUUAUUGUGAAGUUGCAUCUAACAUUAGAGGUAGUUCUUGACUUUGAAAAUAUUCUGGUUUUCUUUAAUGGGUAUCUUCAUAGUGUGGUCACUUUAUUUAAUGUUUUCACCAUGGUUACAGGGAGAGUUUGAUGCAGUGUUAAAAUUUUCAGGUACCGUUAACAGAUAUGUGGAAUAUGUUCAUAACUUCUUUCAUGCUAGAGAUUGUUGGGAGCUAUCACUUAUUUUUCUCUGGCAUCUAGCGAGUAAACAUGAUCUCCGUUGAUUUAAAUCAAGCAGUCCGGCUGUUGGAUUUCCAUUGAAGAGAAUAAAAGAUUGUAUGGGAUAAAUUUUCAAUUGAUCAGGAUCUGUGUUGUUGGAUGAGUUUCAGAAAGCGGUAACGGGCAUGGAAGGAGCUGAUGUGCUUUCAAGUGUGAAGAUGUUCUAAACGAUAGAGGUCUGACCGAUACAGUGAUGACUGAAUCAGUCUAAAGGAUUUGUAAGCAUCACCAAUAAUAGAAAUGGGUACAACACCUUCCUCAAUGACGCGAGUUAUGUAAUAUUCAUCUUACAAGCUCCAAAACGCAUUUCUUGCCUUUCUUAAGGAUCUAUGGAUCUUUUAAAUUAUUCUUAUACUAUAAAUCAGGAGAUCUGCCCAGAUGUGUGGGUAGAGUAGAGAUGGCUGAAGGCGCAGCUAACUGAUGAGAUCAUUUGUUUUAGCUGGGAGUAUGAUUAUGUCAACUACAUGUUGUAACAUGUAUACGUUUGUGGAAUAGAUUUGCAUUCUUUUAAAAUCUGGUCAAGAUACUGUUUUUUUUUAGUUAGACACGAGAAACCGCAAGGUUAAUAAGUUCAAUUCAGCAUUGUAAACAAAAGUCAAAGUUAUAAAUUGCACAAACCAUUGUAUUAAGGUUAUUAUUUGAUUUAUAUAAUUAUUUGUGCACCCAGUUAAAAAAAGUUUGGCUUCA